AGCAAACCUCCCCCUCAGCACCCAAUGCAGACGCUACUCCUAGCAUAGGCCUAUUUGGUGCAGAUCUCCCAGCGGUGUCCCGCGGGCCCUCCCCACUGCCCACGGAGGCUAACAUGACUGGUGAUCUGCUGUCGGAUCUUUCCCCUGCGGGCCCUCCAGCAGCUCCAGUAGGUGGGGCCCCCGCUGCCUCCUCUCCCUCCAAACCUGAGGUCCCGGUGCUUGACCUCUUCGGGGGUAGGUACCUCCACCUCAGGCUGCCAAUGAGUCCAAAGCCAAACCUGACAGAUCAGGGCCAGAUCAGGGCCAGACAUGAUCGACACGCCACUAGUACAGUAGCUAGGCUAUCACUGAUUAUUAUAUCACUCGCUGGUUAUUCACUUAGUUACUUAAAGAUGAUUGUAUUUCACUUGUGUGUCUUCA